CUUGGUGAGGUCUGUUUUUCAACAGUUUUACGUCUUUUGUGACUGAGGCUCCGGCACGCCCGCGACCCUAGUGAGGAGAAGCGGCUCAGAAAAUGGGUGGAUGGAUGGAAUAUAUAAAAUUAUUAUCUCAACAUGCCUCUCUCUCCAGGUCAUUCACUAGGUCCCCCCCUGUGUGGUUCUGAAAUAAACCAUACAAAUCCAUCACCUGGGUUCUGCGCGCCGCGAGCACGGUGAGUCCGAAGAGCAUGGCGGUGAUGCAGAUCAGCA